UACGAAGGGGACUAGCGUUGUUCGGAUUUACUGGGCGUAAAGCGUGCGCAGGCGGCUUUGCAAGACAGAUGUGAAAUCCCCGGGCUUAACCUGGGAACUGCAUUUGUGACUGCAUGGCUAGAGUGCGGCAGAGGGGGAUGGAAUUCCGCGUGUAGCAGUGAAAUGCGUAGAUAUGCGGAGGAACACCGAUGGCGAAGGCAAUCCCCUGGGCCUGCACUGACGCUCAUGCACGAAAGCGUGGGGAGCAAACAGG
rnacentral:rRNA from 1 species